CCUACGGGAGGCAGCAGUGAGGAAUAUUGGUCAAUGGACGAGAGUCUGAACCAGCCAAGUAGCGUGAAGGAUGACUGCCCUAUGGGUUGUAAACUUCUUUUAUAUGGGAAUAAAAUGUUCCACGUGUGGGAUUUUGUAUGUACCUUAUGAAUAAGGAUCGGCUAACUCCGUGCCAGCAGCCGCGGUAAUACGGAGGAUCCGAGCGUUAUCCGGAUUUAUUGGGUUUAACGGGAGCGUAGGUGGGUUGUUAAGUCAGUUGUGAAAGUUUGCGGCUCAACCGUAAAAUUGCAGUUGAAACUGGCAGUCUUGAGUACAGUAGAGGUGGGCGGAAGUCGUGGUGUAGCGGUGAAAUGCUUAGAUAUCACGAAGAACUCCGAUUGCGAAGGCAGCUUACUGGACUGCAACUGACACUGAGGCUCGAAAGUGUGGGUAUCAAACAGGAUUAGAUACCCGGGUAGUC
rnacentral:rRNA from 1 species